rnacentral:rRNA from 1 species
GUCGAUGGCCAUGCUACCCUGAACAAGCUCAAUCCCAUCUGAUCUUGGAAGCUAAGCAGGGUCGGGCCUGGUUAAUAUUUGGAUGGGAGACCACCUAGGAAGACUGGGUGCUGUAGGCA